GACGAACGCUGGCGGCGUGCUUAACACAUGCAAGUCGAACGGAAAGGCCCUGCUUGCAGGGUACUCGAGUGGCGAACGGGUGAGUAACACGUGGGUUAUCUGCCCUGCACUUCGGGAUAAGCCUGGGAAACUGGGUCUAAUACCGGAUAGGAGCCAUUUUUAGUGUGAUGGUUGGAAAGUUUUUUCGGUGUAGGAUGAGCUCGCGGCCUAUCAGCUUGUUGGUGGGGUAAUGGCCUACCAAGGCGGCGACGGGUAGCCGGCCUGAGAGGGUGGACAGCCACAUUGGGACUGAGAUACGGCCCAGACUCCUACGGGAGGCAGCAGUGGGGAAUAUUGCACAAUGGGCGCAAGCCUGAUGCAGCGACGCCGCGUGGGGGAUGACGGCCUUCGGGUUGUAAACUCCUUUCGCUAGGGACGAAGCUUUUUGUGACGGUACCUAGAUAAGAAGCACCGGCUAACUACGUGC
rnacentral:rRNA from 1 species